CGGGUGAGUAACGCGUGAGGAACCUGCCUCAAAGAGGGGACAACAGUUGGAAACGACUGCUAAUACCGCAUAAGCCCACAGCUCGGCAUCGAGCAGAGGGAAAAGGAGCAAUCCGCUUUGAGAUGGCCUCGCGUCCGAUUAGCUAGUUGGUGAGGUAACGGCCCACCAAGGCAACGAUCGGUAGCCGGACUGAGAGGUUGAACGGCCACAUUGGGACUGAGACACGGCCCAG
rnacentral:rRNA from 1 species